GAACAACGCCGUAUGGACCCCUCUGCAGGAAAGCCAAAAUGUUUCCAACCAUGACAACAUGGAAGAAUAGGUAAAGUCCACGUUGUUAGAGAAUUAAACAUUGGGAGAGGAAAUGGAAAGAAAGAUGGGGGUGUAACUGUCUUCGUAUUUUAAAAAUAUGGAGGUUUUACAUGCCAUGCUUCCUUGGGACCAGGAAGUAGAUGAAAAUGGAAGAUGUGAAUAGUUUGCAGAAGUGGAAACUGUGAAUAUUCUGCAUUUUAAUUUGGCCUUUAUCCUGUAAGGAAUAGAUUGAAACUCUGUUCUUUAAACUUUUAACUCUUACUAUUGACAUAGCAAUCUCUUGCUCUUUAAUUCUUUCAACCUUAAAAAAUUAGAAUUUAUAUUAUGAAUUAUAAUAUUUAUCACUUAAUAUAUAUAUCAAAGCUAAUAAAUUUACAGUGGUUAGUAAAUGUGCAGGAGCUGUAAUAAAAGAUACUGUACAUAUGAUUCAAGUAUGAAUGAUAUGCAUUUUCAAAGUAGUUAAAUGAUUACAAUCUUGGAAAAAUAUACUCCUGUUGAAGAUCCACUAGUUAAAGGAGAAAAUGUUAGUCUAAAACUUAAAAAUAUUUUAAAAAUGUGAAUGAUUUUUAUUAUUAUUUGAAAAAAUAUACAUACACAGGAUCUCAGAAGUCAGUUGAGUCCAAUUUUGUUCUGAAUACAGAUUAAUACAAUGUCUCGAAUAUGAAACAAACAUAAUGUAAUGUGCAUUCCCACAAAACUUUAUACUCAGAGGAAAUUACCAAGCGGAAACACAAUCUGUAAAAAUUUAUGGCAACUUCAAGUUCUUUCUAUUGUCCAAGUGAAUACAGAUUUUGUAGUUAUGGAGUUUGACUUAACAUUUUAGAUGGCCAAACUAAUGACAAAUGGGAUCUAAUUAAACUAAAGAGCUUCUGCACAGCAAAAGAAACUACCAUCAGAGUGAACAGGCAACCUACAGAAUGAGAGAAAAUUUUUGCAAUCUACUCAUCUGAAAAAAGCUAAUAUCCAGAGCCUAAAGGAACUCAAACAAAUUUACAAGAAAAAACAAACAACCCGAUCAAAAAGUGGACGAAGGAUAUGAACAGACACUUCUCAAAAGAAGACAUUUAUGCAGCCAACAGACAUAUGAAAAAAUGCUCAUCAUCACUGGCCAUCAGAGAAAUGCAAAUCAAAACCACAAUGAGAUACUAUCUCACAGCAGUUAGAAUGGCAAUCAUUAAAAAGUCAGGAAACAACAGCUGCUGGAGGGGAUGUGGAGAAAUAGGAACAUUUUACACUGUUGGUGGGACUGUAAACUAGUUCAACCAU
rnacentral:lncRNA from 1 species